CCUACGGGGCGCAGCAGUGAGGAAUAUUGGUCAAUGGACGAGAGUCUGAACCAGCCAAGUAGCGUGAAGGAUGACUGCCCUAUGGGUUGUAAACUUCUUUUAUAUGGGAAUAAAACGUUCCACGUGUGGGAUUUUGUAUGUACCAUAUGAAUAAGGAUCGGCUAACUCCGUGCCAGCAGCCGCGGUAAUACGGAGGAUCCGAGCGUUAUCCGGAUUUAUUGGGUUUAAAGGGAGCGUAGGUGGAUUGUUAAGUCAGUUGUGAAAGUUUGCGGCUCAACCGUAAAAUUGCAGUUGAAACGGGCAGUCUUGAGUACAGUAGAGGUGGGCGGAAUGCGUGGUGUAGCGGUGAAAUGCUUAGAUAUCACGAAGAACUCCGAUUGCGAAGGCAGUUCACUGGACUGCAACUGACACUGAGGCUCGAAAGUGUGGUUAUCAAACAGGAUUAGAUACCCCAGUAGUC
rnacentral:rRNA from 1 species